rnacentral:lncRNA from 10 species
GAGACAGCGCCGCCGGCCGUGGGGAGCGGACGCAGUGAUUUGCUCCCCCUCGUGCAGCAACCCCCACACCCAGCACCAGGAGCCUGUUCCUCUCACGCCCUCACCUGGCUGAGCCGCAGUAGUUCUUCAGUGGCAAGCUUUAUGUCCUGACCCAGCUAAAGCUGCCAGUUGAAGAACUGUUGCCCUCUGCCCCUGGCUUCGAGGAGGAGGAGGAGCUGCUUUCCCCAUCAUCUGGAAGGUGACAGAAAUGGGCUGGGAAGGUCCGAACAGCAGGGUGGAUGAUACGUUUUGGGCAAGUUGGAGAGCCUUUGCCCAGAUUGGCCCAGCAAGGAGCGGUUUUAGAUUAGAGACACUGGCUGGAUUGAGGAGUAGAAGGCUCAAACAACCCAAGCAUCUCCCUCCAGCCCUCGCUAUGUGCCUCUGCCAUCUUCACCCAUCAUGGAGCAGAGGUGAGGAGAGGCAGCCUGGGAAUAUGGAGACCAGUGAAGGACCAGGCCUGGAGAGCACAGGGUCCUACCUGGGCAUCCAGCAGAGGAGCCCCUAAAGGCCAGGAGCACCCCAAGAGGAGGGAGGGCAGCCAGCCUCCAUUGACGGCGAGCCUCCAGCCCUCUCCUACUUUGAUCACCAUUUCUCUCCAGGCUUUCUGCCUCCGAGAUGUGGCACCAUAGUGCGGUGCCCUGUGGCUUCACCGCCCUACUUCCACCUCCGCCCAGCCUGUAAUGUUUAUAUAAGCAGCCUCAAGGACCAAGAACCAUCUGCGAAAGGACACACACAGGAAAUUCAUAAAAGAAAUCUGAAUGGAUAAAACCAUGAAAAAAAGUAUGCUUCAUUAGUAAUUAAAGAAAGGCAAAUAGAGCUGGAAGCAUUUUUCCCUUAGCAAACCAUAACAGAAAAAAAUAAGACCCAAUAUUGGCAAAGAGACUACUGAAAAAACAUUCCCAUACAUUGCGUGUGGGAGUAUACAUCGGUGCAGGCUUCCUGGAUGACAGUUGGGUGAUAUGUGUCAUGUGGCCUAAAAGCCUCCAUGUCAUUUGACCUACGAAUUCUAUCUUUGGGAAUUUAUCCUAAGAAAAUACUUAAGGAUUUAGUUAGUGAUAAGAUGUUCAUCCCAGCAUUGCAAUGGAGAAAAAUGGGAAGCAAUGGUUUGGUUGGGAAUUUAUUCCUUUUCUGCUGUAACGAAAGUUUGCAAUAGGGGAUUGCUUAAGUAAAUUAUUGUAUCUCCAUCCAGAUGGUGGAGUACCGCGCAGACAUUAAAAGUCAUGUAAAA